AAGAACCUUACCAGGUCUUGUCAUCCCGCUGACCGGUAUAGAGAUAUACCUUUCCCUUCGGGGACAGCGGCGACAGGUGGUGCAUGGUUGUCGUCAGCUCGUGUUCGAGAGAUGUUGGGAUUAAGUCCCGCAUACGUGCGCAACCCAUUGAUCUUAGUUGCCAGCAUUUAGUUGGGCACUCCAAGGUGACUGCCGGUGACAAACCGGAGGAAGGUGGGGAUGACGUCAAAUCAUCAUGCCCCUUUAUGACCUGGGCUACACACGUGCUACAAAGGAUGGUACAAAAGGGCUGCAAGACCGCGAGGUUUUAGCCAAUCCCAUAAAACCAUUCUCAGUUNGGAUUGCAGGUUGCUAACUCUCCUGCAUGAAANCUUGGAAUCGCCUAGUAAAUCGCCGGAUCAUCAUGCCCGCGGCGAAAUAUCGUUUCCCGGGCCUUGUAACACUCCGCCCGUCACACCACGAGAGUUUGNAACUCCCGAAAGUCGGUGGGGUAACCCUUACUGGAGCCAGCCGCCGAAGGUGGGGCAUAUGAUUUGGAGUGAAGNCGUACAAUGUAUNACGUA
rnacentral:rRNA from 1 species